AUCCAACUGACGAGUUCCAAAUAGGACGAAACUCGCUUCCUAGAU
rfam:Schistosoma mansoni strain Puerto Rico chromosome 3, complete genome